rnacentral:rRNA from 1 species
GACGAACGCUGGCGGCGUGCUUAACACAUGCAAGUCGAACGGAAAGGCCCUGCUUUUGUGGGGUGCUCGAGUGGCGAACGGGUGAGUAACACGUGAGUAACCUGCCCUUGACUUUGGGAUAACUUCAGGAAACUGGGGCUAAUACCGGAUAGGAGCUCCUGCUGCAUGGUGGGGGUUGGAAAGUUUCGGCGGUUGGGGAUGGACUCGCGGCUUAUCAGCUUGUUGGUGGGGUAGUGGCUUACCAAGGCUUUGACGGGUAGCCGGCCUGAGAGGGUGACCGGCCACAUGGGGAUUGAGAUACGGCCCAGACCCCUACGGGGGGCAACAGGGGGGAAUAUUGCACAAGGGGGGGAAGCCUGAUGGAGAAACGCCGGGGGGGGGAUGACGGCCUUCGGGUUGUAAACCGCUUUCGCCUGUGACGAAGCGUGAGUGGCGGUAAUGGGUAAAGAAGCACCGGCUAACUACGU